rnacentral:rRNA from 1 species
GACGAACGCUGGCGGCGUGCUUAACACAUGCAAGUCGAACGGAAAGGCCCUGCUUUUGUGGGGUGCUCGAGUGGCGAACGGGUGAGUAACACGUGAGUAACCUGCCCUUGACUUUGGGAUAACUUCAGGAAACUGGGGCUAAUACCGGAUAGGAGCUCCUGCUGCAUGGUGGGGGUUGGAAAGUUUCGGCGGUUGGGGAUGGACUCGCGGCUUAUCAGCUUGUUGGUGGGGUAGUGGCUUACCAAGGCUUUGACGGGUAGCCGGCCUGAGAGGGUGACCGGACACAUGGGGGAUAAGGCACGGCGCAGCAGGCGAGGGGAGGAGGCAGGGGGUAUGAUGGAAGGAGGGGAGGAAGCCUGGUGCCGCGGCGGCGGGGGGGAGGUGACGGGCUGGGGGGUGAGAGCAGCGGUGGAGGGGGGCGGAGAGGGAGGGGCGGUAAGGAGAAAAGAAGGACCGGCUAACGACGUGCCAGCGGCGGCGGGAAUAGAUCGGACGAGCACAAAUCUGAA